AGCGAACGCUGGCGGCAGGCCUAACACAUGCAAGUCGAACGAACUCUUCGGAGUUAGUGGCGGACGGGUGAGUAACACGUGGGAACGUGCCUUUAGGUUCGGAAUAACUCAGGGAAACUUGUGCUAAUACCGAAUGUGCCCUUCGGGGGAAAGAUUUAUCGCCUUUAGAGCGGCCCGCGUCUGAUUAGCUAGUUGGUGAGGUAAAGGCUCACCAAGGCGACGAUCAGUAGCUGGUCUGAGAGGAUGAUCAGCCACAUUGGGACUGAGACACGGCCCAAACUCCUACGGGAGGCAGCAGUGGGGAAUCUUGCGCAAUGGGCGAAAGCCGGACGCAGCCAUGCCGCGUGAAUGAUGAAGGUCUUAGGAUUGUAAAAUUCUUUCACCGGGGACGAUAAUGACGGUACCCGGAGAAGAAGCCCCGGCUAACUUCGU
rnacentral:rRNA from 1 species